AUUGAACGCUGGCGGCAGGCCUAACACAUGCAAGUCGAGCGGAUGAAGGGAGCUUGCUCCUGGAUUCAGCGGCGGACGGGUGAGUAAUGCCUAGGAAUCUGCCUGCUAGUGGGGGAUAACGUCCGUACACGGGCGCUAAUACCGCAUACGUCCUGAGGGAGAAAGUGGGGGAUCUUCGGACCUCACGCUAUCAGAUGAGCCUAGGUCGGAUUAGCUAGUUGGUGGGGUAAAGGCUUACCAAGGCGACGAUCCGUAACUGGUCUGAGAGGAUGAUCAGUCACACUGGAACUGAGACACGGUCCAGACUCCUAAGGGAGGCAGCAGUGGGGAAUAUUGGACCAUGGGCGAAAGCCUGAUCCAGCCAGGCCGCGUGUGUGAAGAAGGUCUUCGGAUUGUAAAGCACUUUAAGUUGGGAGGAAGGGCAGUAAGUUAAUACCUUGCUGUUUUGACGCUACCAACAGAAUAAGCACCGGCUAACUUCGUG
rnacentral:rRNA from 1 species